AGGAUUAGAUACCCUGGUAGUCCAUGCCGUAAACGUUGGGCACUAGGUGUGGGGCUCAUUCCACGAGUUCCGUGCCGCAGCAAACGCAUUAAGUGCCCCGCCUGGGGAGUACGGCCGCAAGGCUAAAACUCAAAGAAAUUGACGGGGGCCCGCACAAGCGGCGGAGCAUGCGGAUUAAUUCGAUGCAACGCGAAGAACCUUACCAAGGCUUGACAUACACCGGAAAAGUGCAGAGAUGUGCUCCCCGCAAGGUCGGUGUACAGGUGGUGCAUGGUUGUCGUCAGCUCGUGUCGUGAGAUGUUGGGUUAAGUCCCGCAACGAGCGCAACCCUCGUCCUAUGUUGCCAGCGGGUUAUGCCGGGGACUCAUAGGAGACUGCCGGGGUCAACUCGGAGGAAGGUGGGGAUGACGUCAAAUCAUCAUGCCCCUUAUGUCUUGGGCUUCACGCAUGCUACAAUGGCCGGUACAAAGGGCUGCGAUACCGCAAGGUGGAGCGAAUCCCAAAAAGCCGGUCUCAGUUCGGAUUGGGGUCUGCAACUCGACCCCAUGAAGUCGGAGUCGCUAGUAAUCGCAGAUCAGCAACGCUGCGGUGAAUACGUUCCCGGGCCUUGUACACACCGCCCGUCAAGUCACGAAAGUCGGUAACACCCGAAGCCGGUGGCCCAACUCGUAAGAGAGGGAGCCGUCGAAGGUGGGACUGGCGAUUGGGACUAAGUCGUAACAAGGUAACC
rnacentral:rRNA from 1 species